rnacentral:rRNA from 1 species
UACGUAGGGUGCGAGCGUUGUCCGGAAUUAUUGGGCGUAAAGAGCGUGUAGGCGGUUAGGUAGGUCCGUUGUGAAAACUCGAGGCUCAACCUCGAGACGCCGAUGGAAACCAUCUGACUAGAGUCCGGAAGAGGAGAGUGGAAUUCCUGGUGUAGCGGUGAAAUGCGCAGAUAUCAGGAAGAACACCCGUGGCUAAGGCGGCUCUCUAGUACGGUACUGACGCUGAGACGCGAAAGCGUGGGGAGCGAACAGG